CCUGUUGGAGAAACCAGGAGGGAAAAUGUAACACCUCGUGUAAGCGGAGACCAACUAAAAGAAUAAACAAACUUUUAAACAAAAACUGUUUAAAUCACAUCUUAAAAUGACCUGUAUUUGAUGUAGUGCCUUCUAGAGUCCUGGAACCCCCCAAGGCGCUUUACAACACAAUCAGUCAUUCACCCAUUCACACACACAUUCACACACUGGUGGGGAUGAGCUACAAUGUAGCCACAGCUGCCCUGGGGCGCACCGACAGAGGCGAGUCUGCCGUACACGGGCGCCACCGGUCCCUCCGACCACCACCAGCAAGAAAGGUGGGUUAAGUGUCUUGCCCAUUGGCACAACGACAGCAACCGGCUGUGUGGGGCUCGAACCUGCAACCUUCUGAUUACAGGGCAAGCGCUAUUCCUACAGGAACAGAGAACAUCUGGACCACAGAACAUCUGGAACAGGAAGAAGACAUUUGUGGCUCUGAGCUCAGAGCACGACUCGGGACCCCCAGAGGUCUGUGAGCAGGAUGAGCAACCUGGUACUGGUCUUGGUUCUGUUAUUUCAUAGCAUUUAGUCUGUUUGGUACUUUUGGUUGGUUCCUCUGGAGAAAGUGAGAUUUUAUUGGUUUAAUCCUGUCAGUGAACUCUGACCCUGCAGGAACGUCAGUGUGUUCCACCUACAGGCAGCAGAACCGAGCUUUAAACAGACCUCUGCCCUGAAUGCAUGAAAUCAGGAAAUCUUGUACAAAUCUUCAUUUUCCUGGUGUUGCUGAUAAAAACAGAUCUGUUAGGAUCAGCUGUAGCUGCAGUAGUCGGAAGGUUGCAGGUUCGAUCCCGGCUCCGACCAGAGAAUGCUGCUGUUGUGUCCUUGAGCAAGACGCCUAACCCACCUUUCUUGCUGGUGGUGGUCGGAGGGACGACGGCGCCUGUGUUCAACAGGUCGGUGUGCCCCAGGGCAGCUGUGGCUACAUCGUAGCUCAUCCCCACCAGCGUGUGAACGCGUGAAGGCCUGAUUGUGUU